UGGGGAAUUUUGCACAAUGGGGGAAACCCUGAUGCAGCAACGCCGCGUGAUUUAGAAGGCCUUCGGGUUGUAAAAAUCUUUUCUAUGGGAAGAAAAUGACAGUACCAUAGGAAUAAGGACCGGCUAAUUACGUGCCAGCAGCCGCGGUAAUACGUAAGGUCCGAGCGUUGUCCGGAAUCAUUGGGCGUAAAGGGUACGUAGGCGGGUAAGCAAGUUAGAAGUGAAAUCCUAUAGCUCAACUAUAGUAAGCUUUUAAAACUGCUCAUCUUGAGGUAUGGAAGGGAAAGUGGAAUUCCUAGUGUAGCGGUGAAAUACGCAGAUAUUAGGAGGAAUACCGGUGGCGAAGGCGACUUUCUGGCCAUAACCUGACGCUGAGGUACGAAAGCGUGGGUAGCAAACAGG
rnacentral:rRNA from 1 species